AUUGAACGCUGGCGGCAGGCCUAACACAUGCAAGUCGAGCGGUAGAGAGGUGCUUGCAUCUCUUGAGAGCGGCGGACGGGUGAGUAAUGCCUAGGAGUCUGCCUAGUGGUGGGGGAUAACGUUCGGAAACGGACGCUAAUACCGCAUACGUCCUACGGGAGAAAGCGGGGGGAUCUUCGGACCUCGCGCCAUUAGAUGAGCCUAGGUCGGAUUAGCUAGUUGGUGAGGUAAUGGCUCACCAAGGCGACGAUCCGUAACUGGUCUGAGAGGAUGAUCAGUCACACUGGAACUGAGACACGGUCCAGACUCCUACGGGAGGCAGCAGUGGGGAAUAUUGGACAAUAGGGCGGAAAGACCUGAUCCAGCCAUGCCGCGUGUAGGAUGAAGGCCUCGGUUGG
rnacentral:rRNA from 1 species